rnacentral:lncRNA from 1 species
CCAUAGACUAACAUCUGAAGAGGUUGAUCUCAGAAUUCGAUAGUAGAUAUACGUUUAGACUCUACCGAUCCUUAUCCUAGCAAAUACAACUGGCCCUGACUACCUUAAUUUGGUGCCUACAUGCAUCAGAUUGCUCUAAAGCCUCUUCAACUGAAGCUAGCCUAAUCCUAUCUAUGCCCUUAUUUCAAAUUCAAAUGUACCUGCGACACUAUAGCUGGCUUCAGAAUAUAUAAGAUAGGUGUAACCACCCAAUCCCAAAGAUCCUAAUCAAAAAUUUAGCCACAUCAUGCCCAAAUCGGCCAAG